rnacentral:rRNA from 1 species
ACGCUCGACACCUACGGGAGGCAGCAGUGGGGAAUAUUGCACAAUGGGGGAAACCCUGAUGCAGCGACGCCGCGUGAGCGAAGAAGUAUCUCGGUAUGUAAAGCUCUAUCAGCAGGGAAGAAGAUGACGGUACCUGACUAAGAAGCACCGGCUAAAUACGUGCCGGCAGCCGCGGUAAUCUGAGGCGGGCUGGCAAGGC